UGGGAAGUCCUCGUGUUGCAUUCCCCUUUUUAAAUAUAUUUUUGCGCCACGUGACAAGGAUGACGCGGGACCGUGAUCUAUAUGACCUCAUUUUCUUAUUUUUGACGUUUACUAGUUUUCUUAUUUUUGACGUUUGUGAUAUGUUUUAGCUUGCCCCUCCCGUGUCCAUUGCCACAUUUGCCUCGACAACGGAGACGAGUUUAACACAAGAAUUUCACCGCUCCCUUUCUACCCCGACAACACGAGCACCGCCACGACCUCUCUGACUUUUCCCACCGCGCUUGACACCCAACGACUAGGGGCAAGCAUAAGGAACAAAUAGAUAGUUGCAUGUCGGAUGCGAUCAUACCAGCACUAAA
rnacentral:rRNA from 1 species